rnacentral:rRNA from 1 species
UACAGAGGUGGCAAGCGUUGUUCGGAAUUACUGGGCGUAAAGGGCGCGUAGGCGGCUUGGUCAGUCCCGUGUGAAAUCCCUCGGCUCAACUGAGGAACUGCACGGGAAACUGCCUGGCUUGAGUUCGGGAGAGGGAAGCGGAAUUCCCGGUGUAGUGGUGAAAUGCGUAGAUAUCGGGAGGAACACCAGUGGCGAAGGCGGCGACCUGGGCCAAUAUUGACGCUGAGGUGCGAAAAGCGUGGGGAGCCAAAC